UCAGAGACUGGUUUCAGAGUACCACAGUCACCUAAAUUCCAAGGUGACCUUAGACAUAUACUAAACCACAGUCUUAUCUUAUGGUUUCCGAGAUUGGUGCUU